rnacentral:rRNA from 1 species
AUUGAACGCUGGCGGCAGGCCUAACACAUGCAAGUCGAGCGAGCGGCGGACGGGUGAGUAAUGUAUGGGGAGGGCCCGAGGGAGAGGGAUAACUACUGGGACCUGUGGCUAAUACCGCAUACUAUCGGAUAACCCAUAUGGGAUUAGCUAGUAGGUGGGGUAAAGGCUGACAUAGGCGACGAUCUCUAGCUGGUCUGAGAGGAGGAUCAGCCACACUGGGAAUGAGACACGGAGCAGACUCCUACGGAGGCAGCAGUGGGGAAUAUUGCACAAUGGGCGAAAGCCUGAUGCAGCCAUGCCGCGUGUAUGAAGAAGGCCUUAGGGUUGUAAAGUACUUUCAGCGGGGAGGCGUUACCAGCAGAAGAAGCACCGGCUAACUCCGUGCCAGCAGCCGCGGUAAUAC